rnacentral:lncRNA from 1 species
GCAGCCACGGGCACCCUGCAAGCUUUCACUGCCGUAAAGAAAAGCGCCUGGGUCAGGACCCACGGAAGAACGGAUCGACCUGGCUGUUUGGCUUAGAAACCUCGUGACCGAACUGUUGACUUCAGCAGCGCCGGAGGGUCUUGCCAACUUGGCCAGGCUGGGCUUGAAGUUGGGCUCUUCCUGCCUUCUCCCAGAGUGCUGAGAUUGCUGAGAUUACAGGGAUUGAAUUCGGGACCUUGUGCUUUCGAGGCAGGUGCUGGAACCACUGAGCUAAAUCCCCGGCCCCCGCCAUGAUGUUUCUGCCUCACCACGGGCUCAGAAGCAAUGAAGCCAGGUGACCAUGGACUGAAACCUCUGAAACCAUGAGCCAAAAUAAAUCUUUCCCCCUUUGCAUUGUUAUUUUCAAGUGUUUUGUCACCUGACUAACACGGGGAUCACAAGUGAGGGGAUUCUUGCUUACCUUGCUCAGCAGCCUGACAAACCAAUAAGGAGGUCUGGCUCAGAAGACUCAAGUAAAAUCUGGCUGAAGAGGGAGGGAGUCCUUGUCAGCCCCUGCCUCAUUCUACAUGCAAGACGCUGGG